AAGGGAGUCUCAGUAUCAGUGAGCCCCUCUGGUGAAAUAGAGGAGGGCAGUUCAGUGACUCUGACCUGCAGCAGCGAUGCCAACCCACCAGUGCAGAGAUACACCUGGUUUAAGGAGAAUGGAGCUGGAGUCUGGCAGGCAGGAUCAGGACAAAGUCUGACCUUUUCUACCGUUAGCUCCUGGAACAGUGGACAGUACUACUGUGAGGCAAAGAACACCCACGGAGCCCAGAACUCUACUGCUCUACUGCUCACAUUGCAAGAUCACAUGUGGAUCCUACACUAGGAUGUAGUGCGGAUGAGUGAAGCCAGAAGAGUUGAUCAGUGGAGGAAACACACAGCACUUCUCUGAGUCCUAGUAUCACUGACCACAGUGGUCAUCAUCUCAACAAGAAGGGAAUUGGACAGAACUUGUGUGUGCAGUUGUUGGAAGCAUAGUGACUCUUGCACUCAUAGCUGUUAUUGUGUGGACGAGGUAAGUGUUCACAAUGUGAAAACAUCUGGAAAUCAAUCAUCAGUCGGAAGACAUAUAAUUAAAAGUUCACAUCAAACAGAGAGAUUUAUAGUGAUUUUACAGAUUCACUGUUUAGUCGGUCGGAAUGUUAUAGCAAGACACCAUCUUGAAUAGCAGUUACUCCCUCAACCCUUUUAUAGUCUGCAAUCUGUUAAAAUUAGAAUUAUAAUUGCAUUCCUGGUUCACUGGUUCUUAAGUGAUUCUGUGAUGUAUGACUCAGUUCUGGGAGACGUGCGAGUGGGCGUGGAAAGCAAGGGGUUGUGUGGCCACUCAGAUGUAGGGGCCGUGGUUAGGUGGCCAGAUCAAAAGAGCCAGGAUAGUUAGAUUAACAGCUGUACCUUUGUAAAAGCGCCAUGGGAACUUUACUGACAGUGAAUCAAGACCUCAUUUUAACAUCCCAGCUGAAGAGCAGCACUUUCGCAGUGCCCAUCACUAACAAGGCGCACUGGAUUUAAUAAGGUUCGGAUCAAAGAGUGCCCUGUACUGGCUCACCAACACACCUUCAAGCAGCGGCCAUUUUCUGUCAAACUGUGCCAUGAACGAGUAUUUGCCCCCUUCCUGAUUUCCUCUGUUAUUGCAUAUUUCUCACAUUGAAUUGUUUCUGAUCUUUAGAUGGGCUGUAAUAUGAGACAAAGGGAACCUAAGUAAACACAAAACACAAACUGCUACACACACACACACACACCUAUAACACCAUUACUGCCCAUGCUUACCAUAUAACCCUGCUACGCACACGCUCUUAUAACACCGUUAUACACUGACGGUAUAUAACCCUGCUACACACACACUCUUAUAACACUGUUAUACACUGACGGUAUAUAACCCUGCUCCACACACACUCCUUUAACACCGUUACACACUUACAGUAUAACCCUGCUGCACACACACUCCUACAACACCUUUACACACUUACUGUAUAACCCUGCUACACACACACUCCUACAACACCGUUACACACUUACUGUAUAACCCUACUACACACACACUCCUAUAACACCAUUACGCACUUACAGUAUAACCAUGCGACGCACACACUCAUAUAACACCCUUACACACUUACAGUAUAACUCUGCUGCACACACACUCCUACAACACCUUUACACACUUACUGUAUAACCCUGCUACACACACACUCCUACAACACCGUUACACACUUACUGUAUAACCCUGCUGCACACACACUCCUAUAACACCAUCACGCACUUACAGUAUAACCAUGCGAAGCACACACUCCUAUAACACUGUUACGCACUUACAGUAUAACCCUGCUGCACACACACUCCUAUAACACCAUCACACACUUACAGUAUAACCAUGCUAAGCACACACUCCUAUAACACUGUUACACUGACAGUAACAGUGCUACACACACACACACACUCAUAACUCAUGUACAUGCACUUGUUCUCUCUCAUUGUAAGGGAAGCUGUUCUGUGUAAGCACAUCUGCAAAAUGAAUGCAGUGUGCUGAAUAUGAUGUAGGCACUGUGAAGUUCAGGUUGUGUCAUGGUUCACAUGUAAUAACAUAAUAUUUAGUAUAUGUAAUGAUGUAUUAUAGUUUAUUUUAGCAUCUUUCAACACACUGUUUGAAGUCUUCAUUUUACAUUGCUUUGUUUUAUUGGCUUUACAUUGCUUUGUUGUUUAUUGGCUCAGAUUUGACCAAUUUUAGAUAAAAUGUUGAUCUUUUUAGUUUUUAACUUUAAAUAUGUUGCUUUAUAGUGCAUAUUGAUGAAUUAUGGUUUGUCUAGGCAUUGUAAAGAACUGUAAA